GAUGAACGCUGGCGGCGUGCCUAAUACAUGCAAGUCGAGCGAACGGACGAGAAGCUUGCUUCUCUGAUGUUAGCGGCGGACGGGUGAGUCACACGUGGAUAACCUACCUAUAAGACUGGGAUAACUUCGGGAAACCGGAGCUAAUACCGGAUAAUAUUUUGAACCGCAUGGUUCAAACGUGAAAGACGGUCUUGCUGUCACUUAUAGCUUGCUCCGCGCUGCAUUAGCUAGUUGGUAAGGUAACGGCUUACCAAGGCAACGAUGCAUAGCCGACCUGAGAGGGUGAUCGGCCACACUGGAACUGAGACACGGUCCAGACUCCUACGGGAGGCAGCAGUAGGGAAUCUUCCGCAAUGGGCGAGAGCCUGACAGAGCAACGCGGGGUGAGUGAUGAAGGUGUUCGGAUCGUAAAACGCUGUUAUUAGGGGAGAACAUAUGUGUAAGUAACUGUGCACAUCUUGACGGUACCGAAUCAGAAAGCCACGGCUAACUACGUG
rnacentral:rRNA from 1 species